UCUCCGUUGGUGAACCAGCGGAGGGAUCAUUACAGCGUUUUCACAGCUCCAAACCCUCGCGAACCGUACCCAUUCCGUUCUGGUUGCUUCCGGCGGGGGUGACGGGGGGGCCCGAAGCGGCCUCCCCGCCCCGCCCCCCGGGGGCGGCGGGCGCUACGAGCCUAUAUAUCUCCACCGCGAGAAACCGGCGGAGAAAACAAACAAAAUAAUCAAAACGUACAACAACGGUUCUCUCGGCUAUGGCAUCGAUGAACAGCACAGCAGAUCGGAAGAGCACAC
rnacentral:misc_RNA from 1 species